rnacentral:lncRNA from 1 species
UUGGAUUUCCUUUGGCAGGGUUCCCUUGUAUGGAAGUUCUCAGGAGAACAACACUCUCAGAGUCCCACUGUCUCAAAGAAUUCUUAAUGGACAGCUAUACUUGGCCCCAAGGUUUCAACCUCACACUGAAGAAAGUGACAUAAGAAAACACAAGUCCCAGUGCUAUCAGGGGCUAUCUGGAAAAGCUGCUUAAACAGCAAGUGAAAGAAGGCUCUCCCCUACCCCGUUCUAGUUAUAAACAUCACAUCUCUUAACAUACGGCCAAGAUGAUGAAGCUGAUGGAGUACGAUGGUGUUCAAACUUAGAUAAGCUAAUUCAAUAGACAACUAGAAAUGCCAAUGAGUCUAUCGUCCUAUGUAAGAUACACAUACCACAUGCUGUCAACCCAUCUGAGACACUCAGCUUUCAAAUGACAGUUCUUCUCUGAAGCUAACCUAGCCAAAAGAGUGAAAUACACUAUCUGUUAAGCUGUGUCAGUAGCUAAGUCUGUGUGUCUAAAUUAAAAACAUACUCACCCUGAAGUUAUUUGAAGGAUCCUUGAGACUCUUUUGGAUUGCUGCUUGGAGAACAUUCCUGUAACUUGUCCCUGCUCCUUGAACUAUAAAAGCAGAAGGGAGGUACUGAGUUAAAACUUACAAAUUAUUAUCA